AGAAGACAAUGUUCCAAACACAGA
rnacentral:siRNA from 1 species